GCUUGUGGUUCAGUGGUAGACCGCUCGUCUGCCACGCGGGCGGCCCAGGUUCGAUUCCCGGCCGAUGCA
rnacentral:tRNA from 1 species